UGUUGUAUGGAAAACAAUUUGACAAAUUAUAUUAAAAAAAAUAAAAAUAAACAAUUCUUCAAGCAUCUUACAUUGUAACCAGACUACACUAUGUGCUGGUCUUUUCUCUGCAUUGGGUGGACAUCUGUUGUAUUUUCUGCUUGUCUUAAAGUGACACUACUCUUCCAUCCUUCUGGAAGAAGAACCUUUCUAUACUCUCAACCCAAGCCCUUCUGGUGCAGGAACUCCACUUCCUGGGGUGAGCAUGUAAUUCCUGCCUGGCCAAUGAUACCCCCCAGUCAUAGUGAUUGAUACAGGAAUGGACAUAUGACCCAAGCAAAGACAGAGAUGUGGAGACUCUUGCUAGGACUUUUGGGGAAAAGCUGCUCAGCUAUUUGAAGUUGUGUGGAUGUGAGGCCAGAGUUGCUGCUGCUGUUUUGCUACCAUCACAUGAGAACCUACCUGAGAAUGGAGUCAGCCCUCAGAGAAAUGGAGCCAGGAAAUGAGGUGCAAGAAUCCAGGACCAGGGCACUAUUUUGCACCCCAGAUCACCUCCUUCCUGGAGCCACUUGGCCCCCUGGAUUUUUCAAUUACUGAGUGUCUGAAACCUCUCAUAGUUUAGACCUGGCUCAAAUGCUUCUUCAUCCAAUAAACAAACCCUGCUUUCCUGAGCUAGAAGAACUCUCUCCCUUUGAAUUCCCAGAGCAUUUUACAAGUUGAUCUGCUAUGACACAUCCCUUACUCUAUUAUAUUCGUGGUUGGUUUGUUUUUUCUUAGAUACAUAGCUUAUCUCCCUGUAGGCUAUUGGCAACUUGAAGGCAGGGCUUACGUUGUCAUUGCCUUUUUAUCUCACAAAGCACAAAACAAGAUGUUUUGGACAAAAUGGGUCUCAGUUCACAUUAGUUGAGAGAACAGAUGAAUCAAUACAAUGAACUUUGUCUCUGAGCGAGCAGUGCACUGUGGGAAGAAGCCAGCUUUGCUUCCUGGGAGGAAGAGAACAAACCACUGCUGGAGAUGUUGCAAUAGUCCAAGCUACCAAAUCAAGAAGAGGUAGAGAAAGAGGCGGGGCUUGACAAGGACACAAGCCAGGCAGAUCCAGCACUGUGUGCAAGAAAGCUGUAAGAACCCAGAAGGCAAGUGUAUAGAAAAUUCUCUGGCUCACUCCAGGGCUUCAUUUAGCCAAGAAUGUCAUGAGUGUCUGGGUCAGUGACUUGCACAGAGUUUCUGAAUUAGCUACCAUUUACUGGAUGCUUAGUGCUUGCCAGGCAUUGUGCUAAGCACUUGACAUGCAUCACCUCAUUUAGUCCACAAAAUAACUCCAUGAGUUAUUCCUCCCAUUUUACAGACAAGGAAGCUGGAGUGCAGAAAGAUGAGUACUAUCUUGCUCCAAGUCACACAGUCACUAAGUGUCAGAUCCAGGAUUUAACUGAGAGUAUAACCAGUGUGUGAAACGCUUAGAAAAAAAAAAUAAAAAGCACAAGAAGGAGAAAAGGGAGAUAAAAAGGGUAAAUGGUGAUAGAGAAAUGAGGAAAAGACAGAAACUCCAGAUGACUCAUUUGCUUAAUUAAGAAGCAUUAGGAGAUGAAGUCAAGACUCCAGGAGAGGGGGAGCCUGGGUGGCUCAGUUGGUUAAGUGUCUGACUUUGGCUCGGGUCAUGAUCUCACGGUUUGUGGAUUCAAGCUCUGCAUUGGGUUCUCUGGUGUCAGCACAGAGUGUGCUUCAGAUUCUCUGUCCACCACCCCCCCCACCCCCCGCCUCUCCCCUGCUUGUGCUCUGUCUCUCUCAAAAAUAAAUAAACCUUAAAAAAAAAGAGUCCAGGAGAAAGAAAGGUAAGAGGAAAACUGUAUGGCUUCUCUAAGGGUAAGAGGACAAUGGGGACAGAUCCAUUCAGAGGGAGGCAUGUGGCGAAGGAUGAUAAAGGUGCCUGAUAAUAGAGUGAGGUCUUUCUUACUCAUUCGAAUGGAAUGAUUCCAAGGGAAAAUCCAGAUUUCAGGAAGUAGGGAGUUGGACAUGAACUUCACAUCAACAACAAAAGGAAUUUGUCCUGGAGACUAUCCCUGCUGGCACCAUGCCAGGACCCCUCUGAAGGAACAAGGUAAUGGCUCUUGAAUGCCCUUCAGGAAGAAGCAGUAUAUGGAAAGUGCAAGCAGUUCCAAAAAAAGCUUGGGAAAUGAACUGGAGUAUAAAAAAAAAAGGAAGACUGUGACAAGGGGAGGAUAUGAUUAACUACAAGGCAAAUACCUUUUUUUUCUUUAUUUUUUUUUAGUAUUUAUUUUUGAGAGAGAGAGACAGACAGAGGGUGAGCAGGGGAGGGGCAGAAAGAGAGAGGGAGACACAGAAUCCAUAGAAGCCUCCAGGUUCUGAGCUGUCAGCACAGAGCCCAACACAGGGCUCGAACUCACAAGCCGUGAGAUCAUGACCUGAGCCAAAAUUGGAUGCUUAACCGACUGAGCCACCAGGUGCCCCUAAGGCAAAUGCUGUUGAUAAGGGAUGGGAAGAGGCAGGUCCACACAGGAGGAACUCCGAAGACAUGUUGUACAUGUGGUCAGGAUUUACCUAGUAGACACAGUUUACCUAUCAAAUUAGCAAAGAUAAAAAACAACAUAUAUCUGAGAAACAGGCCCUCUUAUUCACUAUUGUUGGGGAUACAAUUAAAUAAUUUUUCUGGCUGAUUAGGUAAUAUCAAAACCCUAAAAUAUCAAAAACCCUAAAAAUAUCCAAAUGGAAUUGAUUACAGCAUUAAAAGAAUGAAGAUCCACUGACCAAACAAAUAAGGAUUCACUGAACAAGAGGAAUUUUUCUAGAAACGCAAGGAUGGUUUUCCACUUGGAAAUCUAGUGAAUAGUUCAAUGCAAUAAUAAGCUAAAGAGGGGGAAAAAUCACAUCAUUAGCAAUAAAUGCUGAAAAGGCAUUUGAUAAAGUUCAACAAUUUAUAAUUUUACCAAAGAAUAGUCCACUUUUACUGAAUUCUUACCACAUACCAUGGACUGUUACCCUAUGAGGUAAAAUUAAACAUUUUAUGGAUGAGAAAACCAUUAUGUGGCAACUCUUCUAGAGCCUGAACACUGACAACCCCAAUGUAGACUGUUUCUUUUGUUAAAUGUAAAAUCUAUACAACCAGCUCCUAUAAAUUAAUUUUU